GAAAAACAUCACUUAUUAAUACAAAUAUCCUUAUAAUCUUAAAUUACCAAUACUUAGGUAAUUCAAAUAGCUUGGAAACCCUCACCAAUGGCUCCGGAAGGGUCAAAAACCCCCAGAACGACCUAAAAAACAUCCAAAACGGAUGUCCGGAACCCCCCAAACUGUCAAAAACAAACGCAACAGCAGAAAACUGCGCCCAGCGUGACUUUUCCUGCUGGAAACAGCAGGAAAUGGCGCCCAACGCCAGUUUUGUGGCGCCCAGCGUGAAUUAUGCAAAUUUUCUGCAUAAUUGAGCAACUCUACCCCCUAAGUUUCGUUUUAGACCUUUUGGUGAACUUUGGACACUCCUAAAUCGAAAUACAAGUUGAAUCUAACUUGUUUGAAGGCUUACACACAAUCCUAACUAAAAAUUCUAAGAGAUAUGCAGAAGAAUUGGAUCAAUUAGCUCAAUUUCUGUUACUUAUAGGGUCAAACUUAGAUCUGCAAUGUAUAAAGUGUUUUUGGCUGGUUUGAGACUUCUAGCAAGUCAGAAUUUACUCACCUAAGUGAUCCAAAUGGUCUAAAACCACCUCUAACCCUUGACUCACGAAUUCACUACCCAAGUUCCCCAAUUUGACUCAACAUCAANAAUUAACUUAGUCUUUUACUCACAAUNUGCAGAGAAUGAAAUCCUCAUCUUUAAAACAAUAAACAUUNANAUCACAUACAUGGUCAUACAAUUUGUAAUUGAUCACUUAGCAGUUCUUAUCAAACACAAGCUAUACACAUCAAUUUUCAGCACAAGUUCUUUUUAUCUAUUUCAAAAUAAAGGAAUCCUUCACUAAUUUACACAUGCAUCAUAUUUCAACAGUUCUACCUAAAUAUCAAACCAAAAGCAGCAAAAUUUUCAAAUAACAAUUAAAAUCCAGCUUCCCUUACCUCUGUUCAACAACGCAGUAUAAAUAUAUUCUAGCUCGCUCUCUUGGAAUUCGAAGAUAACACUAGAAUCACCUAUAGAUCAUUAAAUUUGGAAUGGAAACAAGUUUUAGAAUCUAAGUGAGGUUAGAAUUCGAAGAAAAACAAGGUGGGUUACAUGCAACAAGAUUUUGUUGCAUGAGUACAGCCCUAGAAUGACCUAGAAAAGGGGUUUUUUCUUACCUGUUGAAGGAAAUUGAAAUUCGAACGGUAGAAAUGUUGAUUGCGGCCUCAAGAACGUUUAGGAGCUC
rnacentral:lncRNA from 1 species